rnacentral:rRNA from 1 species
AUUGAACGCUGGCGGCAGGCCUAACACAUGCAAGUCGGACGAGUGGCGGACGGGUGAGUAAUGUAUGGGAACCUGCCUGAUGGAGGGGGAUAACUACUGGAAACGGUAGCUAAUACCGCAUACCAUCAGAUGUGCCGAGGUGGGAGUAGCUUGUUGGUGGGGUAACGGCCCACCAAGGCGACGAUCCCUAGCGGGUCUGAGAGGAUGACCAGCCACACUGGAACUGAGACACGGUCCAGACUCCUACGGGAGGCAGCAGUGGGGAAUAUUGGACAAUGGGCGCAAGCCUGAUCCAGCCAUGCCGCGUGUAUGAAGAAGGCCUUCGGGUUGUAAAGGACUUUUGUCAGGGAGGCGGUACCUGAAGAAGAAGCACCGGCUAACUACGUGCCAGCAGCCGCGGUAAUUC